rnacentral:sRNA from 1 species
AAUAAAGGAAGAUCGACUAAGUACGUCACAUCCUGUGACAAAGCCGAUCUGACCCACGUCGUGUGGC